rnacentral:rRNA from 1 species
UACGUAGGGUCCAAGCGUUGUCCGGAUUUAUUGGGCGUAAAGAGCUCGUAGGCGGCUUGGUAAGUCGGGAGUUAAAACGCAAGGCUCGAACCUUGCGUCGCUUUCGAUACUGCUAUGGCUUGAGUCUGGUAGGGGAUCACGGAAUUCCUGGUGUAGCGGUGAAAUGCGCAGAUAUCAGGAGGAACACCGGUGGCGAAGGCGG